CCUACGGGAGGCAGCAGUGGGGAAUAUUGGGCAAUGGGCGCAAGCCUGACCCAGCAACGCCGCGUGAAGGAAGAAGGCUCUCGGGUUGUAAACUUCUUUUAACAGGGACGAAGCAAGUGACGGUACCUGUCGAAUAAGCCACGGCUAACUACGUGCCAGCAGCCGCGGUAAUACGUAGGUGGCAAGCGUUAUCCGGAUUUACUGGGUGUAAAGGGCGUGUAGGCGGGAGGGCAAGUCAGACGUGAAAAUCAAGGGCUCAACCCUUGAACUGCGUUUGAAACUGUUUUUCUUGAGUGAUGGAGAGGCAGGCGGAAUUCCGUGUGUAGCGGUGAAAUGCGUAGAUAUACGGAGGAACACCAGUGGCGAAGGCGGACUGCUGGACAUUAACUGACGCUGAGGCGCGAAAGCGUGGGGAGCAAACAGGAUUAGAUACCCCAGUAGUC
rnacentral:rRNA from 1 species